UACGGAGGGGGCUAGCGUUGAUCGGAAUUACUGGGCGUAAAGCGCGCGUAGGCGGACCUGCAAGUCGGUCGUGAAAUCCUUCGGCUCAACCGAAGAACGUCGGCCGAUACUGCCGUUCUUGAGGGAUGCAGAGGAGAUUGGAAUUCCCGGUGUAGCGGUGAAAUGUGUAGAGAUCGGGAGGAACACCGGUGGCGAAGGCGGGUCUCUGGGCAGCUCCUGACGCUGAGGCGCGAAAGCGUGGGGAGCAAACGGG
rnacentral:rRNA from 1 species